GAGGGAAACCCAAGCCCCGGCGGAAGCCGUGGUGAAGAUUAUCCCGUGGAUAGACUCGCCAAUCAGCUUUUGGUGAGGUAAGGCNCACCAAGCUAUGACGGUACGGCAUCUGAGAGGAGGGNCCCGGAGAUGGGUACUGAGACACGGACCCAGGCCCUAUGGGGCGCAGCAGGCGAGAAACCUUUGCAAUGUGCGAAAGCACGACAAGGUUAAUCCGAGUGUCUCCUGCUAAAGGAGUCUUUUGUCAGUUGUAGAAUCACUGGUGAAUAAGGGGUGGGCAAGUUCUGGUGUCAGCCGCCGCGGUAAAACCAGCACCUCGAGUGGUCAGGAGGUUUAUUGGGCCUAAAGCAUCCGUAGCCGGUUGCAUAAGUUUUCGGUUAAAUCUAUGCGCUUAACGUAUAGGCCGCCGAAAAUACUGUGCUGCUAGGGAGUGGGAGAGGUACACGGUACUCGAUAGGAAGGGGUAAAUCCUUUGAUCUAUUGAAGACCACCUGUGGCGAAGGCGGUGUACCAGAACACGUUCGACGGUGAGGGAUGAAAGCUGGGGGAGCAAACCGGAUUAGAUACCCGGGUAGUCCCAGCUGUAAACGAUGCAGACUCGGUGAUGCAUUGGCUUGUGGCCAAUGCAGUGCCGCAGGGAAGCCGUUAAGUCUGCCGCCUGGGAAGUACGUACGCAAGUANUGAAACUAAAGGAAUUGGCGGGGGAGCACCACAAGGGGUGAAGCGUGCGGUUCAAUUGGAGUCACUC
rnacentral:rRNA from 1 species